GCUCGGGUGGUGAAACCGGUAGACACAAGGGACUUAAAAUCCCUCGGGGGCAACCCCAUCCGGGUUCGAGUCCCGGCCCGAGCA
rnacentral:tRNA from 1 species